GCUCGUAGGCGGUCUGUCGCGUCUGCUGUGAAAACCCGAGGCUCAACCUCGGGCCUGCAGUGGGUACGGGCAGACUAGAGUGCGGUAGGGGAGAUUGGAAUUCCUGGUGUAGCGGUGGAAUGCGCAGAUAUCAGGAGGAACACCGAUGGCGAAGGCAGAUCUCUGGGCCGUAACUGACGCUGAGGAGCGAAAGGGUGGGGAGCAAACAGGCUUAGAUACCCUGGUAGUCCACCCCGUAAACGUUGGGAACUAGUUGUGGGGUCCUUUCCACGGUCUCCGUGACGCAGCUAACGCAUUAAGUUCCCCGCCUGGGGAGUACGGCCGCAAGGCUAAAACUCAAAGGAAUUGACGGGGACCCGCACAAGCGGCGGAGCAUGCGGAUUAAUUCGAUGCAACGCGAAGAACCUUACCAAGGCUUGACAUAUAGAGGAAANNUCUGGAAACAGUCGCCCCGCAAGGUCUCUAUACAGGUGGUGCAUGGUUGUCGUCAGCUCGUGUCGUGAGAUGUUGGGUUAAGUCCCGCAACGAGCGCAACCCUCGUUCUAUGUUGCCAGCACGUAAUGGUGGGAACUCAUGGGAUACUGCCGGGGUCAACUCGGAGGAAGGUGGGGAUGACGUCAAAUCAUCAUGCCCCUUAUGUCUUGGGCUUCACGCAUGCUACAAUGGCCGGUACAAAGGGCUGCAAUACCGUGAGGUGGAGCGAAUCCCAAAAAGC
rnacentral:rRNA from 1 species